rnacentral:misc_RNA from 1 species
CCUUCAAAAGAAAAAAAGUUGCAAUAACAAGAACACUCUUGCAUAUAAUGACUUGAUUAAUACAUGAACAGUGGGUUUGAAUUUUUAUGAGAGACUGAUAUUUGUCCCAGCUGAGAUUUUUUUUUUCAUCCAUAUCAUCUUAAAGCAUAAUUCUAUCCGACGCUCGAAAUUUAUGAAAGGACCUUAUGUGUACAAAUGCACCAAUAAUUUCCCAAGAAUAAUUUAGUGCUAAAGACCCAGGAUGAAGUUAGAAAUGGGUAGUCUGUAUUGCUCAUUUAAAUUCAAAAAACCUUCAAGCAUGUGAUCAAAUUGCAGGAUUUAUCAAUCAUUUUAGAAAGUAGAAGAGAAAGAGAACAUGAAGAAUACCUUCCCUGAAACGAAGUCAACAGUUAGCAAUCAUCUUGAAAGAAUCUUUAAGAGGGAAAUUUAUAAUCAGCCCAUAUCCCAUUUACAUAACCUAUGGUUGGUGCUUGAUUUUCACUUGCAGAAGGACAGAACCGUCCUUGGAGGUCAGUCUUGGAGCGUUUUCGUUUUCGUUUUUCUUUUCCAUGAAAUAUAGGUUCUUGGUGUUCCUGGCUAGACAACUGUUCUUGUCCGUGAUCGCUGCUGGUCUUGGAUGACGUUUUCACUCAUGGUUGCAAUAGCUAUUAGCAACUGCUCCAAACAACGUCCUGUGGAACCUGAAGCCUCCAAAUUCAGCAUAGUUUGCAGUGAUAGUGGAGACAAUAUCAAAUUCUUUUUGCUGCCAUUCUUGAUUUCCUUGAGAAUCACACGCCUAGCCAUUCUCAUGCCAAACUCCAUCUUGACCUUGCUAGUAAUUCCCUCCUCCUUUGGACUUGUAGGAGCUGUUAAAAAUUGUCAAUUACACUAUGUUUAAAUCAUGAUUUGGGAUAUUUUUAUACUGUAUAGUAUAAUUACAAUUACUUUACAUGUUUGAAAAGA